rnacentral:lncRNA from 1 species
CUGAAUCAGCGGCAGGAGUCCUGGAUGAUCCCCCGGUCGUGCGGCCCCUCCCCCGCUCCUUCCCGACCCGCGCCGCAGCGAUCGCAGACUCUAGGGGAGGGAGCGAUGUUCUCUCCUACCGUUCCAGCGCCUCCGAGGGUGAAUCAUUAAAAUAUACAUCCACUCCAGUAUACCAAGAAGCUCAAUUCCACAAGACUGAGGUCUAUGCUGACUCCAUCUUCUGUUCAGAAUAUUAUUCAGCCACACCACUGUUGCUUCAUCCCAAGACAUUCAUCACCUCUUCCUUCUGAGUAUUCUUUCUGUGGCUAAUGACGAUCGUGUCAAGAGAUUGCAGUCCUGGAUUCUCUGAGACCAGGAAAGACGUCUUACCAGCAGCAGCAGUGCAGACAGCCCUGCCAGCCGCCUCCUGUGUGCCCACCUAAAUGUCCUGGGCUGUGCCCACCACCAAGGUUCCCAGAGUCUUGUCCACUUCAUGCCCACCUGUGCAGCCACGCCCACCUGUCAGCAGAAAUGUUCACCCAAGAGCAAGUAACAGCACCAGAAUUCAUCAGGAUCAUGAAGUGACAGGAAAAGUUAUCUUUUAGACUCUGAACUCAAUCUUCCUUUUGAACUGUGUCAUGAUGACAGAUGGCAUCUUGACAUUUCCCUAACCCUCGACUUCUCACCUGCUUGAAAUGACUGUUGUCACAGAGAACACUUUGUUCCUGAAGUUGACAUCACCCUGUUGGAAGCCAUGUCCCUGCCUCCGGCAUGUGGCUAAGAUACAGUAAUGCUCAGCAAUGCCA